rnacentral:lncRNA from 1 species
CCUAAACAUAAAAUCGCUAUUUUUAAGGUUUAGAGUUUCAUAAAAUUAUAACAAGAAUCCCAUUAUAAUUUCUAAUAGACAAAUUUUUAUAUCGAAUUUCUCAAAUCACAAUGUAUAACUCAAGACUUCAAUUGGAUUUUCCCGUAAUUCUAUCUCUUAGGAUAAUUAAGCUUUGUACUGGUUUACAAAAGAAUCUUGUAGAAUGGUUAUAUGAACUAUGGACAUAAAUGUUGAAAAAAAAAAAACUUUAAGCUUUUACAUAGAGGCUUGAUCUAACUUCUGAAUAAAUCGAUUUCUCACAUUUCAAAUAAGCUUGUGAAGCAUAAUUUGCUUGUUAUUGCCUAAAACUAUUAAAGAUUUGAGAUAAAUAAUAAGUAAGAAGUAAGAAGUUAAAUUCGAAAAAUAAAAAUAAAAAUUUGGCUACCAGCGAACCAUCUGUCUUACUUUUUGGUUUGGCAUCAAUUUAAUAAGUAUCAUUGUUUGUUGUGCAAACUUGUUUUGUUAAUCUAGGUCUGACGAUGAGCCUGUAGAUCCGAAGCAGGAACUUGAAGAGCGAUGCAAGGCACUAUGCAUGCGACCACUCAAAGAAUA